CCUACGGGGGGCAGCAGUGAGGAAUAUUGGUCAAUGGGCGCGAGCCUGAACCAGCCAAGUAGCGUGAAGGAUGACUGCCCUACGGGUUGUAAACUUCUUUUAUAAAGGAAUAAAGUGAGGCACGUGUGCCUUUUUGUAUGUACUUUAUGAAUACGGAUCGGCUAACUCCGUUCCAGCAGCCGCGGUACUACGGAGGAUCCGAGCGUUAUCCGGAUUUAUUGGGUUUAAAGGGAGCGUAGAUGGGUUGUUAAGUCAGUUGUGAAAGUUUGCGGCUCAACCGUAAAAGUGCAAUUGAUACUGGGAGUCUUGAGUACAGUAGAGGUAGGCGGAAUUCGUGGUGUAGCGGUGAAAUGCUUAGAUAUCACGAAGAACUCCGAUUGCGAAGGCAGCUUACUAAACUGCAACUGACACUGAUGCUCGAAAGUGUGGGUAUCAAACAGGAUUAGAUACCCGGGUAGUC
rnacentral:rRNA from 1 species